UGGUCGGAGCCUCACUACUCCCUCGACCUCCACAGCACGUCGCACGCUAGCUCUCGGGCUCUGUGCAAUCCUAGCCGCUCCAAUGUCACUCACGUCUGUAGAGUAACACAAUUCCACCGUACAGCAAGUUUUAUCGACAUCCAAGGAACUGACGUGGACCCAGAUGGCUACGCUGAAGCCGCGGGAAAUAUCACGGAGCAAGGCAAGACAUAA
rnacentral:lncRNA from 2 species